CCCUUAGAUGUUCUGGGCCGCACGCGCGCUACACUGAAGGGAUCAGCGUGUUUUCCCUUCCCGAGAGGGACGGGUAACCCGCUGAACCCCCUUCGUGGUAGGGAUCGGAGCUUGCAAUUGUUCUCCGUGAACCAGGAAUUCCCAGUAAGCGCAAGUCAUAAGCUUGCGUUGAUUACGUCCCUGCCCUUUGUACACACCGCCCGUCGCUACUACCGAUUGAACGUUUUAGUGAGGUAUUUGGACUGGGCCUUGGGAGGUUUCGGCCUCCCUUGUUGCUCGGAAAGACCCCCAAACUUGAGCGUUUAGAGGAAGUAAAAGUCGUAACA
rnacentral:rRNA from 1 species